GUAGGUGGCAAGCGUUGUCCGGAAUUAUUGGGCGUAAAGCGCGCGCAGGCGGUUCUUUAAGUCUGAUGUGAAAGCCCACGGGCUCAACCGUGGAGGGUCAUUGGAAACUGGAGAACUUGAGUACAGAAGAGGAAAGCGUAAUUCCACGUGUAGCGGUGAAAUGCGUAGAGAUGUGGAGGAACACCAGUGGCGAAGGCGGCUUUCUGGUCUGUAACUGACGCUGAGGCGCGAAAGCGUGGGGAGCAAACAGGAUUAGAUACCCUGGUAGUCCACGCCGUAAACGAUGAGUGCUAAGUGUUAGGGGGUUUCCGCCCCUUAGUGCUGCAGCUAACGCAUUAAGCACUCCGCCUGGGGAGUACGGCCGCAAGGCUG
rnacentral:rRNA from 1 species